GCACAGCAACGGGUGGAGCGUGCGGUUUAAUUGGAUUCAACGCCGGAAAACUCACCGGAAGCGACGGUUACAUGAAGGCCAGGCUGAUGACCUUGCCUGAUUUUCCGAGAGGUGGUGCAUGGCCGUCGUCAGUUCGUACCGUAGGGCGUUCUCUCAAGUGAGAUAACGAACGAGACCCUCAUCCCUAAUUGCCACCUCAUGGGUGACCAUGGGAGCACAUUGGGGAGACCGCUACUGCUAAAGUAGAGGAAGGGGAGGUCAACGGUAGGUCAGUAUGCCCCGAAUCCCCCGGGCAACACGCGCGCUACAAAGGAUGGGACAAUGGGCUUCAACACCGAAAGGUGAAGGCAAUCCCGAAACCCAUUCGUAGUUCGGAUUGAGGGCUGUAACCCGCCCUCAUGAAGCUGGAUUCCGUAGUAAUCGCGGGUCAACAUCCCGCGGUGAAUAUGCCCCUGCUCCUUGCACACACCGCCCGUCAAACCACCCGAGUUGGGUCCAAAUGAGGUUCUGCCCUUGUGGUAGGCUCGAAUUUGGGUUCAGCAAGGAGGGUU
rnacentral:rRNA from 1 species